UCUGAGUCAUGCUGCCAGGGAGGGCAUCCA
rnacentral:piRNA from 1 species